rfam:Lactobacillus equi DPC 6820 NODE_18, whole genome shotgun sequence.
GUCAACAGAACCCGUCAUUGAAAUAACGGGCUUGUAGUGAAAACUACUAGCUCCGUUGUUUUAAUGACGACCGGUUGAUUAGCUUAAGUAUUAAGUUACUACGUUACCGCUGAAAUUAGGUACUUUGGAACGCCACCCUAAUUCCAAACACUACGCUUAUGCUUCUAAACAGAGCUGCGGUUCACGGCUCAGUGGGUAUAAGAAUUAAAACCAGCGGAUAACAUUGGCGCAGGGUACACAC